UACCUCAAUAGGGUUUUAGCA
rnacentral:siRNA from 1 species